CCGUGCUAGACGGGGAGGUAGCGGUGCCCUGUACCUGCAAUCCGCUAUAGCAGGGUCGAAUUCCCGGGCUGAGGCCUGGCUCGGUGAAGGUCUGGCCCAAAUAAGUGGUGUUGAAGGCUGGGUCCUAUGCGACGCAAACCCAUGAAUCCCGUCAGAUCCGGAAGGAAGCAGCGGUAAGUGGGAAUUUGCGGGUGCCAUAGGGUCACCUGGCCGGAGCUAACUGUUUGGGUAACGCUUGACCGAGUGGGUCGAAGUCGGGUGCACGG
rnacentral:SRP_RNA from 1 species